rnacentral:rRNA from 1 species
AGGAAAAGAAACCAACAGGGAUUGCCCUAGUAACGGCGAGUGAAGCGGCAACAGCUCAAAUUUGAAAUCUGGCGCAAGCCCGAGUUGUAAUUUGUAGAGGAUGCUUCUAGGUAGCGACCGGUCUAAGUUCCUUGGAACAGGACGUCAUAGAGGGUGAGAAUCCCGUAUGUGACUGGCCCGCACCUUCUACGUAGCUCCUUCGACGAGUCGAGUUGUUUGGGAAUGCAGCUCUAAAUGGGAGGUAAAUUUCUUCUAAAGCUAAAUACCGGCCAGAGACCGAUAGCGCACAAGUAGAGUGAUCGAAAGAUGAAAAGCACUUUGGAAAGAGAGUUAAAAAGCACGUGAAAUUGUUGAAAGGGAAGCGCUCACAACCAGACUUCUAGGCAGUGUUCCGCCGGUCUUUUGACCGGUCUACUCUCUGUCUCGAGGCCAACAUCAUCUGGGACCGCUGGAUAAGACCUUAGGAAUGUAGCUCCCCUCGGGGAGUGUUAUAGCCUCUGGUGAUGCAGCGAGUCUCGGGUGAGGUCCGCGCUUCGGCAAGGAUGUUGGCGUAAUGGUUGUCAGCGGCCCGUCUUGAAACACGGACCAAGGAGUCUAACAUCUAUGCGAGUGUUCGGGUGUCAAACCCCUACGCGUAAUGAAAGUGAACGGAGGUGGGAAGCGUAAGCUGCACCAUCGACCGAUCCUGAUGUCCUCGGAUGGAUUUGAGUAAGAGCAUAGCUGUUGGGACCCGAAAGAUGGUGAACUAUGCCUGAAUAGGGUGAAGCCAGAGGAAACUCUGGUGGAGGCUCGCAGCGGUUCUGACGUGCAAAUCGAUCGUCAAAUUUGGGUAUAGGGGCGAAAG